AACAUUGAGCCUUGAUGUGUAGGAUAGGUGGGAGGCUUUGAAGCGUGGACGCCAGUCUGCGUGGAGCCGACCUUGAAAUACCACCCUUUAAUGUUUGAUGUUCUAACGUGGAUCCGUAAUCCGGGUUGCGGACAGUGUCUGGUGGGUAGUUUGACUGGGGCGGUCUCCUCCUAAAGAGUAACGGAGGAGCACGAAGGUUGGCUAAUCCUGGUCGGACAUCAGGAGGUUAGUGCAAUGGCAUAAGCCAGCUUGACUGCGAGCGUGACGGCGCGAGCAGGUGCGAAAGCAGGUCAUAGUGAUCCGGUGGUUCUGAAUGGAAGGGCCAUCGCUCAACGGAUAAAAGGUACUCCGGGGAUAACAGGCUGAUACCGCCCAAGAGUUCAUAUCGACGGCGGUGUUUGGCACCUCGAUGUCGGCUCAUCACAUCCUGGGGCUGAAGUAGGUCCCAAGGGUAUGGCUGUUCGCCAUUUAAAGUGGUACGCGAGCUGGGUUUAGAACGUCGUGAGACAGUUCGGUCCCUAUCUGCCGUGGGCGCUGGAGAACUGAGGGGGGCUGCUCCUAGUACGAGAGGACCGGAGUGGACGCAUCACUGGUGUUCGGGUUGUCAUGCCAAUGGCACUGCCCGGUAGCUAAAUGCGGAAGAGAUAAGUGCUGAAAGCAUCUAAGCACGAAACUUGCCCCGAG
rnacentral:rRNA from 1 species